GUGACUGAACGAAAAUCCGUCAUUUCCGUUCGCGGCUCACACAUACCGUCUGACUGUCACCAGUGGGGACGAAGAAAAGAUUCCGACUGCCACGCUCGCUGCAUCGGUGGAGUGCUCCUGGACAACAAAAGGCUGGGCCGGAAAGCGAGGUCUCGGAUAAACCCAUCGUGUUCGUAAGACGGGAAAAAGUGCCACGCAGCCGAUAAAUCGCCAGAUCAUCAGGAGAGGAAACUCCAAACAUAGCUCAAGACAAGGGUUGACCAUUCGGUUUGCCGUGACCGAAUAAGACCGAGCGGGGUACACACCAAGAGCAGCAGAGGACUUGAGGCGGCACGGAAGGGACUUCUCCACAGUUACGGGUGCGGAUAAAUUCCCCCGCGCGGAGUGUGCUCGAGCGAAGUUCAUUGAGCAAGCCAGGCAGAACGUGCAUAGGAUCCAGCAUACGGAAAUUUCCUACCACAACGGAUAGCGACCGGUAGCCAACGUAUCAAACAUUCGCCGUACAAGAGAGCCUCCUAGGAGGCUCUUGUUUGGGAAUUGUUUUCGUUGCGGAUUUUGGCGGAAACGGCACUCGGCGCCGACUGGAUCAAGCCGUGCAAACAGAGGUGGCUUGAGGUGCGAUCGACGGGCGACUCAAGGUGCGAUUUUGGCAGCAAGCCAUUCUCUCCCGACGAUUGCAGUCCGGGAACAGGAUCACACCCGCGCUGUGCACCAAGGCAUUUCAGGACUCAGUCAAAGUGGCGACCGAUGUGCGGUCCAAGUUUUUCCCCUAGUCGGCAUCAAUAGCGGGAGCAGUGCAGGUACGGGCUCAUGGAGCGGUGUGUUUGCGAGGUGGCCG